rnacentral:pre_miRNA from 1 species
AGUGAGAUAACUGGGUCAAACUAUGGUUCCACUCCAAGUUUUCUAAGGAAUCUCCAAACUGCUUUCCAGAGUGGUUGCACCAAUUUGUAGUCCCACCAGCAAU